UUUGGACUAAUUUGGACUUAUGAAGGGAGGUAACCUAUGUACCAACAAUUGUUAGCAUUACUCAGAUAUGAGAGUCCUAUAAUUUUUGUUGAUUUGGCUACCUAUGUACUAGUGUUGGAUUCAAGUGGAAUUUGGUGUGAAUUAUUUUAAUGUUUCUCUUCAGCACAUUUUAUUUACCACCUUCAUGGUUCACUUGUGGUAAACCUCUACUGCUUAAUCUCAUACAAGCCUGCUUUACUAAGCAAGAUCGAGCCCUUAAACUGCUUCAUUGUUGAUUGUAUUGGAUAUAACCAAUCCGUCAUUUUUGGUUUUACUGGAUUGCUUUGGUAGGCCGAUCGCAAGUGCACCAGAAUCAUGGUUUGAUGUUGUUGAGCGGACCUCAAUGGACAAUAACAAGACACUACCAUAAGUAUUUAUUCUAUUGGCUACCAUAAGGGAAAUAAAUCCAGUUACUGUGUGACAUCAUAAUGCAAUCUUUCAGGAAGCUGAAGUAUGAGGAAAUAGUUGCCAACAUAUGACCAGAUUUUGGAACUAAUGGAAAGGAGUUAAUAAAGGUAACCGGUCUGUCGUGUCAGCAAUGAUCUCUAUAGGAACUUAUCCUUCCUAAAUCUUAGUAUAAUGGAGAGACCAGUUCAGUUUGAAGUGCCAGAUGAAGCAAGGCUUUCCGCCAAAAGUGUAGUUGUUCUCCAAAAUCUUUGCCAAAAGGUUAGUAUCAUUAUGCCUUGCAUGCUACCUGUUUAUACCAUGAUCGUUGGUUUACUUGCUAAUAAAAAUAUUGGUAGUAUGUGUUUGGUCUCAGCAACUUCUAUUGUGCUUAUUUUUAUAAUAAUGGCCUACAUGUAGGAUUCAUUUUCUCUGUAGUAUAAUAAGCCCAUUAAAACUAUCGAAUGCCAUUGUCCGUGCAUCCAUUAUUUUUUGUAACUGUGCUAUGUACAUGUAACAGUGUAGGGGCUCGUCUAUUUCAUGGUAGUACACUGUAUUUUUUACUGAACUUUUUUGGAAAUCCCGUGACUCACUUUUUUAGGUCCUCUCCGUUGGACUUUUGGUAAAGUCCCAGAAAUCUUAAUCUUACGAAUUGCUAAUUGGUUUAUACUAAUAUGAUGGCCAUUUUUUAGUAGCUUUAAGCAAUUUUGAAUCAGGUUCCCAUUGAGUUAAUAAUUUUAUACUUAUCCUUUGCUUUUAACUUCAUCAUUUGAUCACAUGUUGAAACAACAAUUUUUUUGUUAUUUAUAAAUCAAAUGCAUUGUACUUAUAUUCAUCCCUAUGCAGUCCUAUGAUUGAUACGGAAACUAACCUUUCUAUUUCAUCUCAAUAAUAGUGAAUUAUUUCAAAUACGAUGGCACUAACUGUCUAAGAUUGCACUAAAUUUGGAAACCAUUUUUCAAUGCGUGUAAGCAAGUUUGAAUCAGGUUCCGGUUGAGUUAAUAUUUUUAUACUUAUCAUUUGACAUUAACUUCAUUUGAUUAGUGAUUGAUGUAUUGGCUAUCCCAUGAAUAGAAGAUGAACUGAUAGUUGUUGAAGAUGGUCAUUUAGGAACCAUAUAUGUUCGUGUAGCUAGUAAUGACCUAUAAGACCAUCUGUUGUUGCUGUUGCAGCUACUUGAGAUAGACCCCUUCCCAUCGUACCAACAAACUGAUUAUAUGACAUACUAAUAUUUCAUAUGUCAGAAAAUACCUACGGGAUCAAUCUCUUUCAGUUAGGAAUCGACAAAUCCAAGGUAAAGAAAACCCUACUUUUUGUAGCACUACUGAUUCUCUUUUUGAUUAACUCCUAUCUCUUUCUAUACAUGCUUGGACCUUAGGAUUUGUUCUCUUUUAUAUUUGUAUAUAUGCUUGGAUCCUCGCAGCUCUUGUAACUGUUGUUUUGUUAUUUAUUUAAUGGAAUGAAGUUCUUCAAUGCCAGGUCCGGUCUGUAUUAGAAAUUAACCUCGAUCAAAUCACAAUAGCUAAGAGGAAACAAUAGGUAUGACAAAGAUGUUGAGUUUAAGUUACUGAAAUAGAUAAAUGCAUUAGCCAUACCAAGAAAUUCAGGAUCACCAUAACAAUCCAGUUAGUCAAACCAUUAGCAAAAUUUAGAACACAAUAAUCAUAAACACACAUACAAUUCUUGCAACAUUUACUCAUUAAUGUGGUUCAUGGAAUCUAAAGCUCGCAUGAUUUGAUAAUAAGAUGUCUUGGACUUCAUUGGACAUGAUCUACCUAGAGCAAUGAUACAAAUACAUUUCUUAACCUGAACCAGUUUAUAUAACUAUGCAAAGCCUCUAUAAUUGUUAGGUAUUUACAUAAAUAAUACCUUAACUAUGGAUAACUGGUUAGUUGUUACCUUUUCCUUGUAGUGUAGGUUGGCGUAGCAACCUGAUGGCCUUUUAUAGCAACAAUUAUUGGUGGAGAACCACUUUUUUCACACAAACCUUUUCUGGAACCUGAUGGCCUUUUCUGGCAAAUUCUUGGCGUUGCAACAUGAUUUUCUGGCAACAAUUAUAUACAAGACCUUUUUUCAUUUUUGUCAUUUUUAUUUCAUUAUCUGACCUGUCCUGCCUCUAUUUCUUUUAUCAGGGAGCUUAGAAUUGCAUGCACAGUUGUUCCAACAUGGGAGAGUUAGAAGUAUUCACAAAAGAGGUUUGAUCUUCAGAGACGCGUAUGAUAAUACCUAUAUGGAAAAAUAACAGCUAAAGCAACCUUGUUAUGCAUCUUGUAGGGUGCAGUACAGCUAUUCCACUUAAUUAGAAUUUAUGAGCUCUAUUUCUGCUCAGUAGAUGCAUAAUGUAGCAUCUGCAAUGUAUUGGUGUACUUAUUGCUUCAACUAAUCUUUCUUUUUGUGAAAGUAUUAAGCUAUUUGAGUUGCAGUUUUGCAACCAGUAUUCUGUUCCAAAGGACAAACUGGAGCAUUUCAAAAAUAUUACUGCACAUGACAUAGUUUGUUCAUAGGUUUGCAGCUUUUCCGCAUUUUAUUUAGUGUGGCCGAAAUAAUUUGGCUUCUCUGAAGGAUUCACACCUUUUUUAAUGUUGACUCAACUGUCCUCAGAAAUCUUCUGAGGUGCUGCUGAAGGAAGAGGAUGUUGUAGUAUGCAAUGUUAAGAUAUAUCUUACUCGUGGAAAAUAUAACCCCCUCGAAAGGUUUUUGAUAUUGAAUGCUACUUUAUCUCUCUUAUUGAUUUGUCUGAAAUAUCAAAAUUCUAAUUGAUCACAUUCCUUUUGUGUAUGUAACAACCAAUCACCAGCAUCAAGUUCUUUAUGGUAAUUACUUGCUUCUGGUAAACUUAUGUGUUUUGAUUGAUAGUUAUUUCAGUAACUAUGAUACGAUUUUCUUGCAAAAACUAUGAAUAUAUGUCCACUCUAUCCAUCAUGUGAUAGGAACAUUCAGGGUGGUGGCAUGGAGAUUUUGAACAUGGGGUGGAGAGCAGACAAUGGACUUUGGUUGUUGUUGCGCGGUGGUGGGCUCUUCCUCAGUAUAGGAACAGUCAGGUGGCUAGCUAGAACAAAAGAAGCUGCAGAGAGCGCUAAUUGCUUUGUGUCAAUCUAUGUGUAGAUAAUUGAAGACUUUGAGGAGGUGCAGGUGCAGAGCCGAUGGUUUGAGAUCCUUAGCGUGGGCUACUGCUCAUAGGUAAAUAUCUUGGCCUGUAUGGUUUUCUAUGAAUUUCUAUGCACUACACUACUCCAGGAGGAGGCUUGGGAUGCUUGUGGCAGCAACGUGUUGCACAAGACCACAAACAAAGGGAAGAGCUGGGUGCACAACAAGGCUGUCGCCGCCAACCUCUACUCCGUCAAGUAAUCAUACUACUACUGCUGCUCUCUUGCUUGUUAGAAACAUUUUGUAAUUAUGACGCUGUCACAGGUUCCUUGAUGACAACAAAGGAUUUGUGCUAGGCAACGACGAUGUGUUGCUUCAGGGUCUUGGCUGAACGAUCAAACAUCCUAUGUAUAUCUGUGUACAACAAACGACAUCUGCUGCUACUACUACCAUAAAAGACUGCGGGCUGUGCUUGCGUUCUCUCUUCUGUAACACAAAUGAGUGUAAAGAGACAUGUGCUACUUCCUUGGAACUUGAAAACCUUGUAAACUCAUGUCUUCAUGCGUCGUGCUUCAUGUGCGAAAACGCUUAGGUCUCUUCCUCUCCUCCACCUCUCCCUUCUUCACCUACCAAUGGGUAAUCACAAUGCCUGACCUAUCAUUUAAAAUUCUAUAUUGAUUCUUUAGAAAUAAUUU